rnacentral:lncRNA from 10 species
CUGGAAUUGGCGGGUUCUUGGUCUCACUGACUUCAAGAAUGAAGCAGCGGACCCUUGCAGUGAGUGUUACAGUUCUUAAAGAUGGUGUGUCCAGAGUUUGUUCCUUCUGAUGCUUGGGUGUGUUCAGAGUUUCUUCCUUCCAGUGGGUUCGUGGUCUCACUGGCUUCAGGAGUGAGGGUGCAGAACUUCAUGGUGAGUGUUAUAGCUCUUAAGGUGGCACGUCUGGAGCUGUUCAUUCCUCCUGUCCGGAGUUGUUCCUCCCUCCCGGUGGGCUCGUGGUCUUGCUGGCUUCAGGAGUGAAGCUGCAGACCUUCACGGUGAGUGUUACAGCUCAUAAAGGCGGUGCAGACUGAAAGAGUGAGCAGCAGCAGAUUUACUGUGAACAGUGAAAGAACAAAGCUUCCACAUAGUGGAAGAGUACCUGAGCAGGUCUCUGUUGCUGGCUCGGGCAGCCUGCUUUUAUUCCCUUAUCUGGCCCCACCCACAUCCUGCUGAUCGGUCCAUUUUACAGAGAGCUGAUUGGUCCAUUUUGACAGGGUGCUGACUGGUGUGUUUACAAUCCCUGAGCUAGACACAGAGUGCUGAUUGGUGUAUUUACAAUCCUCCAGCUAGACGUAAAUUUCUCCAAGUCCCCACUAGAUUAGCUAGACACAGAGCACUGAUUGGUGGGUAUACAAACCUUUAGCUAGACACAGAGUGCUGAUUGGUGCAUUUACAAUCCCUGAGCUAGACACAGAGCACUGAUUGGUGUGGUUACAAACCUCUAGCUAGACAUAAAAGUUCUCCAAGUCACCACCCCACUCAGGAGCCCAGCUGGCUUCACCUAGUAGAUCCUGUGUGCUGAGCUGCCCGCCAGUCCCGCACCGCGCGUCCGCACUCCUCAGCCUUGGGCGGUCCAUGGGACCAGGCGGUCGAGGGGACCGGGCGCCCUGGAGCAGGGGGCGGCGCCCAUCGGGGAGGCUCGGUGGGCGCCGGAGCCCAUGAAGGGUGGGGGAAGCUCGAGCAUGGCGGGCUGCAGGUCCCGAGCCCUGCCCCAUGGCGGGGUGGCUGAGGCCCGGCGAGAAUUCAAGCGCUGCGCGGGCGGACCGGCAGUGCUGAGGGACCCGGCGCAACCUCUACAGCUGCUGGCCCAGGUGCUAAGCUGGUCACUGCCCGCGGCCGUUGGCGCCAGCCGGCUGCUCCGAGUGCGGGGCCCGCUGAGCCCGUGACCACCCGGAACUGGCGCUGGCCCGAGCGCUGCGCGCAGCCCCGGUUCCCGCCUGCGUCUCUCCCGCCACACCUCCCCUCAAGCAGAGGGAGCCGGUUCCGACCUAGGCCUGCCCAGAGAGGGGCCCCUUCAGCGCAGUGGUGGGCUGAAGAGCUCCUUGAGCAUGGCCAGAGUGAACGCCCAUGCCGAGGAGGCGCUGAGAGCGAGGGAGGGCUGCUAGCACGUUGUCACCUCUCAGAAGGACAUGAGGAAAAUAUCUUCCUACAAUGCCCCAUGUUCCAUCUCUGUUGAUGUUUGGUUGGAGUAAUGUAGAUGGU